rnacentral:rRNA from 1 species
CCUACGUGCGGCAGCAGUGAGGAAUAUUGGUCAAUGGGCGCGAGCCUGAACCAGCCAAGUCGCGUGAGGGAAGACGGUCCUAUGGAUUGUACACAUCUUUUGUCGGGGAGCAAAAGACGCCACGCGUGGCGUUACGAGAGUACCCGAAGAAAAAGCAUCGGCUAACUCCGGGCCAGCAGCCGCGGUAAUCCGGAGGAUGCGAGUGUAAACCGGUGUUAUUGGGUUGAAAGGGUGCGCAGGCGGAAGAUAAAGUCAGCGGAAAUAUUUAGAGGUUCAACCUCUUGAGCUGUUGACACUGGUUUGCUAGAGUGAGCGAGAGGUAUGCGGAAUGCGUGGUGUAGCGGUGAAAUGCAUAGAUAUCACGCAG